CGGGAAACUGGGGAUAAUACCCCAUAGACUAUUGAUGCUGGAAUGCUCUGUAGCCGAAAGGUCCGCCGCCACAGGAUGAGUCUGCGGCCGAUUAGGUUGUUGUUUGGGUAACGGCCCAACAAGCCUGUAAUCGGUACGGGUUGUGGGAGCAAGAGCCCGGAGAUGGAUUCUGAGACACGAAUCCAGGCCCUACGGGGCGCAGCAGGCGCGAAAACUUUGCAAUGCGGGAAACCGUGACAAGGGAACUCCGAGGGCCCGUAAAUGCGGGCUGUCCGCCAGUUUAAACAACUGGGGAAGAAAGGGCCGGGCAAGACCGGUGCCAGCCGCCGCGGUAACA
rnacentral:rRNA from 1 species